UCAAGCUUGCCCUUAAAGAAAGUUUCCCUAAAUCACACCCAAAGCCCUAAAAUCUCAUCACACUUCCUUUCUUUUCCCUUGAGAAUUCAUCCGUUCAAAACCCCUUUUUUCUUUUCGUUGGCCGUUUCCACCAUCUUCGCCGCCGUUCCCACGGCAUUUGCCAUUCCCAGCCGCUACCUCCAUCUUGUCUCGCAGUUCCCAGCCGCUCGAGUUUGUUUCUGCGUGUCGCGAAGAUCUGAGUUCGAUUGCUUCUCCAGUUACUAUCUCCUCUCGUGGCUUGAGAUUCGAGGCAAGACUAGAGUUUGAUGACUCCAAACAGGUGGUUGGUAAAAGAUCGAAAAACGAAAAAAAUUAUUGUUGAUUAUGGAAAGGCUUUUAAGGUCCUGGACAUCUGAAACAAGUUGAGAAUAUUGGCUAAUGACUAUUGUUAAGAACAAUGUAGCGUUCAGAGCCUUGACUCACUUUUACAAUCAUGCAGUUGCUACUAAUUUAUUCUUGUUUACAGUUAGGAUAUUGCACUUUCUGGCAAGUUUACUUGUUAGAUUUGUAAUGCUAGUGAUAUGCAGGUUAACUAGUUAUGUGUUAUCAAAUGUUGGUGUAAAUACUGAUUGAAUAUGAGCAAGUUAUCUUAUAAUAUUCCUUUAGUUA